CCUCGGGGUGCAGCAGGCGCGAAACCUUCCCCAUGCGCGCAAGCGUGAGGGGGUCACCCCCAGUGCUCCCCUCUGGGGAGCUUUUCCCGGGUGUAAAUAGCCCGGGGAAUAAGGGGUGGGCAAGACCGUUGCCAGCCGCCGCGGUAAUAACGGCGCCCCGAGUGGUGAGCCCUAUUAUUGGGCCUAAAGGGUCCGUAGCUGGGCAUGUAAGUCUCCUGUGAAAUCCGCCAGAAGACUGGUGGGCUUGCAGGAGAUACUGCAUGCCUUGGGACCACGAGGGGCCGAGGGUACUCACGGGGUAGGGGUGAAAUCCAGUAAUCCCGUGGGGACCACCUGUGGCGAAGGCGCUCGGCUGGUGUGGAUCCGACGGUGAGGGACGAAAGCCAGGGAGCAAACCGGAUUAGAUACCCGGGUAGUCCUGGCUGUAAACGAUGCUCGCUAGGCACCGGGAGUUCUGAGUGGGCUCUCGAUGCCGUAGCGUAGGCGUUAAGCGAGCCGCCUGGGGAGUACGGUCGCAAGGCUGAAACUUAAAGGAAUUGGCGGGGGAGUACACAAGGGGUGGGGUCUGGCGGUUCAAUUGGACUCAACGCCGGGAACCUUACCAGGGGCGACAGCAGGAUGAAGGUCAGUCUGAAGGGCUUACCAGACGCGCUGAGAGGUAUUGCAUGGCCGACGUCAGCUCGUGCCGUGAGGUGUGCCGCUAAGCCGGUUAACGAGCGAGACCCGUGCCCUCUGUUGCUACCUCCAUCUUUUGGUGGAGGGGCACUCAGAGGGGACUGCCUGCGUUAAGCAGGAGGAAGGUGCGGGCGACGUUAGGUCAGUAUGUUCCGAAUCCCCUGGGCUACACGCGGGCAACAAUGGCCGGGACAAUGGGAUGCGACCCCGAAAGGGGAAGCCAAUCCUCGAAACCCGGUCUCAGUUCAGAUCGAGGGCUGAAACUCGCCCUCGUGACGCCGGAAUCCCUAGUAGUCGAACGUUAGCACCGUUCGGCGAAUACGUCCCUGCUCCUUGCACACACCGCCCGUC
rnacentral:rRNA from 1 species